UUGGAAACACUCUUAAAUAAAGCUUCCAAUGAACAAGACAGGAGUUCGACUUCGCCUGGCUCCGAACAAGCGGUCGACGAGGCGGAGGUCUCGCGUCCUGCGUGCAUUGCGCCGUUGCCUGGCUCCGUCCUCGCCGUUCCUCCGUCACAGCCGCUGUCCUUUCGCCGGGAGUCGUCUAUGUAAAUCUGUUUCAUGUUCAGAGCUCACUGUCCAUAUAUCUGUUUACCACCGUACUGUUUCCUCUUCGGAGUUCGAUUCCCCUAGAUCUGUUUGCCACCAUGCCUGUUCGUGUGCUUUGCCCUCAUCUCGUCGCGUCGGCCUUGGGAACAGCUACCCUGCGAGACGGGUGCGGACGGCGCCCCUCGCCAUACCCCGUCGUACCAUAACUAUGACCUUCUACCAGUUCGCCCAUGCUGGCCACUGCUCCUGCCCAUCACAUUGCCUAUCACCCCACCUCCGGCAGUGCCUCUAGCCUUUCCUCCGCUAGUUUUCGCUACCGGGACGACGACACCGCAGGCGGCCUAACCUUGUGUUGCACGAAAGCUCCAAAGGGUACACAAUGCACGCUAACUCCGCGCUCGUAGCCUCGCUGCUGCCCGACAGAGUUUGGCCUGUGUUUCUCCGAUUUCAUAAGAUCUCCUCUGGCCUGAGUAGCCACAGGCGCAGCUGCAGCCAUGUAUGCCACCGGCAUCGGAGGGGGAGGGAAGGCAAAAAACGGAGCGACCAGGUGCAAGGUUCGCGAGCCCAGCAAGAAGUCGGCGUGGAGGCCAUGAAACAAAAGCGACAAAUGUUGUCCCUUGAAGCACAUGAUUGUGCAAAUGCAAUUCCUGAUUUGAGCAAUAUGAUCAAAGCAGUUCAGGGCCAAGUUGCAUAGUGUGAAGAUUUAAAAUUGAAGUGCUAUGAAGAGAUGGAUAAGAGGAAGAAACUUUAUAAUAUUAUUCAAGAGACAAAAGGAAAUUAUCAGGGUUUUUUUUGUCGAUGCCGACCCUUAAGCAAAGAUGAGGUGUCAUCAGGCCAGAAUGCAAAUGGCGGAACAACUAAAAAGACAUUUAAGUUUGAUAGAGUAUUCACGACGAAGGAUGAUCAAGGUAUAUUAGUGAUAACUUGAUGUUUGAAUGAAGCUGUAGUUUAUUUUACAAUUGCAAUCCACUGUGUUAGACACAAUAGUCUACAAAUUCAGUUAUUUGAGUUUAACAUUAUAAAAACAAUAUUGCUAGCUGGGUACUUGUACAUGUUUGGCUAAAAAACCUUAUGAUUAUUAUGCUGUCAGCUAUCACCGUGUCAUACACAAUAGUCUACACAUUCAAUUAUUUGAGUUUAACAUUGUAAGGAGAAGAUUGCUAGCUGAUUACUUGUGCAUGUUUUCCAAAAAUAUUGUCUUAGAUGGUUACAAAUAUUGUGUAUGUGGAUGCGUCUCCACUGGUCACAUCUGUCUUAGAUGGUUACAAUGUAUGCAUCUUUGCUUACGGACAGACAGGAAUAGGAAAGACUUUUACCAUGGAAGUGAAUGAGAGUAAUAGGGGUGUUAACUAUAGAACUCUAGAAGAACUGUUCAAUAUUGCAGAGGAGAGGAAACGAAGUGUCACAUAUGACUUAUCAGUUAGUGUUCUUGAGGUUUACAAUGAACAAAUCUGAUACCUUCUAUUUUCUUGGUCUGUUUGUGUGGUGUUAUAUGUUGUUCAAUUUAACCAUUUAAGUUACUUCUUCGUUCAAGAGAUACAUUUUUAGUUGUUAUUGUUUGACGUGUGCUGAAAUGAUUGCUUGCACUUAGCUCUGUAGGUCUACUCAGUUGAGGACAGUGAUCAGUGUCUCAUAGGCACUGCUGAAAUUCCUGUUGGUGGAUUUUAAUGAAUCUAAUUUGUUGAUGUAGCUACUGGUGCACUUUUCUACUUUAAUAGGAGAUUGUUCUUGUCACCCCAAAAAUGUUCCCAUUCUACUUUCGGGCAGGUGAAUUGCAAAGAAAUGGUAUGUCCGCAACUGGUGCUCUCGGACGACUCCAUCACCAAGCAGCCCUUCGCCCCGGUGGCUGCGGUGUCGCACUGGCUGACACCUACUCGCAGUUGCAUUACAAGUUUUACUGACUAUGUAUUUACAGGUUUAUUCAAUUUCGGUUGCAAUGCUUCUGACAGUAGUUGUAUCUGUCCUCUUGUUCAGCUUCCAUGUAUCCCUCGCAUUCUUCCUUGGAUCCACAUAAGUGUUAAUGAUAAUUUUGUUGCAUCUCCUCUGCUGAUCAAAGCUUUCAAACUCAUGACAGAAUAAUGUACUAAACUUCAGUGUGGUGUCUAUCUCAGUGUACCUACACUCAGUUGGAAAACAUCAACCACACUGCAACAAGGUUUAUAAAAGAACCAAGCCAAGAAAACAGAUAUCAACUGUGAUGCCACACUCAAAAGCUUGUUUGGUGGGAGGGAUAAGGUUGGGAUGCUAGAGAUCUCCAAACUUUUGAGCCCUGACUUCCCGAAGAUCUCCAAGCUUUUGUGGUCCAUGGAGCCAGGGAUGGCUCUUUGGUAAAAGACUUUGUUGUGGAUGGCCUCUUUUAUGGUCCAUGUUAAGUCUCACUAGAAAAAUCGUGUGAUGGCAUUAAGACUUUUAGACUUUAUUUUUGGGUCUGAUGCAUGUAAAAAGGAUUCCCAAUGUUUCUGUUGCUCUUGCGAUCCUGUGAGGACACAUAUGAGAGAAAUAUUUAGUCCGCUGAUGGCAAAGCUUG